GAACAUUUUUUAGCAGCCACUAUAUUUCAAAAUUUGAAAACCUAUUCUCCUCCCUCAUCAGAUCUCUCUCCAUCCAUCUCUCCGCCUGCCGGUACCGAAGCUCUGCACCGUCAUCGGAGCAAACAUAGAAACUUUGCUUGCAAUGCAAACAAAGGAACUGUCGGUAGAGACUUUUCAUCUGUUUGCGAAAACCGAAGCUCGAUCCCUUCGCAGUUACUCAGCAUGGAUGGAUGUCAUUGGUGGUGUUGCAGAGGUAUGGUGUCGGAGAGUAUCUUGAAGGAGCUCAAAGAUUUGCAGAAGGACCCUCCUACGACCAGUGAAGAAGUUCAAGAAGUGAAGACGCAAUAGCUCAGCAGCAAGAUAAUGAUGCUGGAAAGCUAACCAGAGGAUAUUCACUAUCUAAGAAAAAAGAGAAUAAUGGUGGUAGAGAUCCUGCCGUUGAAGGUGCUAUCGACGGUGAGGCAGAAUGACCAAAAGAGAAUCAGAAGCAAAGAAGAAGAAAUAAUCUUGCAGCAAAGGAGAAGUAGUCAAUUAAAGCUCUUCUUCAUCCUUUUUUUAUUCUUCAGCUAUGUGUUUGGAUCAGAAAUUGUAGAUUCAAGAAUCAGAAUUUGGAGUUUUCACGUGAAAGUCACUAUUAUGGCAGAUCUAAGAAACAGAUUUAC